UAUUUGAUAGUACCUUACUACAUGGAUACCUGUGGUAAUUCUAGAGCUAAUACAUGCUGAAAACCUCGACUUCGGAAGGGGUGUAUUUAUUAGAUAAAAAACCAAUGCCCUUCGGGGCUCCUUGGUGAAUCAUAAUAACUUAACGAAUCGCAUGGCCUUGCGCCGGCGAUGGUUCAUUCAAAUUUCUGCCCUAUCAACUUUCGAUGGUAGGAUAGUGGCCUACCAUGGUGGCAACGGGUAACGGGGAAUU
rnacentral:rRNA from 1 species